rnacentral:rRNA from 1 species
GACGAACGCUGGCGGCGUGCUUAACACAUGCAAGUCGAACGGAAAGGCCUCUUUCGGGGGGUACUCGAGUGGCGAACGGGUGAGUAACACGUGAGUAACCUGCCCUUGACCUUGGGAUAACUUCAGGAAACUGGGGCUAAUACCGGAUAGGAGCUCCUGCUGCAUGGUGGGGGUUGGAAAGUUUCGGCGGUUGGGGAUGGACUCGCGGCUUAUCAGCUUGUUGGUGGGGUAGUGGCUUACCAAGGCUUUGACGGGUAGCCGGCCUGAGAGGGUGACCGGCCACAUUGGGACUGAGAUACGGCCCAGACUCCUACGGGAGGCAGCAGUGGGGAAUAUUGCACAAUGGGUGGAAGCCUGAUGCAGCAACGCCGGGUGCGGGAUGACGGCCUUCGGGUUGUAAACCGCUUUCGCUCAUGACGAAGCUUUGUGUGACGGUAGUGGGUAAAGAAGCACCGGCUAACUACGUG